rnacentral:rRNA from 1 species
AUUGAACGCUGGCGGCAGGCCUAACACAUGCAAGUCGAGCGAGCGGCGGACGGGUGAGUAAUGUAUGGGGACUGCCCGAUAGAGGGGGAUAACUACUGGAAACGGUGGCUAAUACCGCAUACUAUCGGAUAACCCAUAUGGGAUUAGCUAGUAGGUGGGGUAAAGGCUCACCUAGGCGACGAUCUCUAGCUGGACUGAGAGGAUGCUCAGCAACACUGGGCCUGAGCCACGGCCCAGACUCCUACGGAGGCAGCAUGGGGGCAUAUUGCACAAUGGGCGCAAGCCUAGUGCAGCAAGGCCGCGUGUAUGAAGAAGGCCUGAGGGUUGUAAAGUACUUUCAGCGGGGAGGCGUUACCCGCAGAAGAAGCACCGGAUAACUCCGUGCCAGCAGCCGCGGUAAUUC